rnacentral:rRNA from 1 species
GACGAACGCUGGCGGCGUGCCUAAUACAUGCAAGUAGAACGCACAGUUUAUACCGUAGCUUGCCACACCAUAGACUGUGAGUUGCGAACGGGUGAGUAACGCGUAGGUAACCUGCCUGGUAGCGGGGGAUAACUAUUGGAAACGAUAGCUAAUACCGCAUAAUAUUAAUUAUUGCAUGAUAAUUAAUUGAAAGGUGCAAUUGCACCACUACCAGAUGGACCUGCGUUGUAUUAGCUAGUAGGUGAGGUAACGGCUCACCUAGGCGACGAUACAUAGCCGACCUGAGAGGGUGAUCGGCCACACUGGGACUGAGACACGGCCCAGACUCCUACGGGAGGCAGCAGUAGGGAAUCUUCGGCAAUGGACGAAAGUCUGACCGAGCAACGCCGCGUGAGUGAAGAAGGUUUUCGGAUCGUAAAGCUCUGUUGUAAGAGAAGAACGGGUGUGAGAGUGGAAAGUUCACACUGUGACGGUAUCUUACCAGAAAGGGACGGCUAACUACGUG